GGCGAUAUAGCUCAGCUGGCUAGAGCAUACGGUUCAUACCCGUAGUGUCCGGGGUUCAAGUCCCUGUAUCGCCA
rnacentral:tRNA from 1 species